CGGUGAAUACGUUCCCGGACCUUGUACACACCGCCCGUCAAGCCAUGGAAGCCGGGGGUACCUGAAGAUGGUGACUUUACGGGGAGCUAUCUAAGGUAAGACCGGUAACUAGGGCU
rnacentral:rRNA from 1 species